rnacentral:rRNA from 1 species
GAUGAACGCUGGCGGCGUGCCUAAUACAUGCAAGUCGAGCGAACAGAUGAGGAGCUUGCUCCUCUGACGUUAGCGGCGGACGGGUGAGUAACACGUGGAUAACCUACCUAUAAGACUGGGAUAACUUCGGGAAACCGGAGCUAAUACCGGAUAAUAUAUUGAACCGCAUGGUUCAAUAGUGAAAGACGGUUUUGCUGUCACUUAUAGAUGGAUCCGCGCCGCAUUAGCUAGUUGGUAAGGUAACGGCUUACCAAGGCAACGAUGCGUAGCCGACCUGAGAGGGUGAUCGGCCACACUGGAACUGAGACACGGUCCAGACUCCUACGGGAGGCAGCAGUAGGGAAUCUUCCGCAAUGGGCGAAAGCCUGACGGAGCAACGCCGCGUGAGUGAUGGAGGUCUUCGGAUUGUAAAACUCUGUUAUUAGGGAAGAACAAAUGUGUAAGUAACUAUGCACGUCUUGACAGUACCUAAUCAGAAAGCCACGGCUAACUACGUG